GGGGCUGUGAGCGCGUACGGCGUGAAUGGUGCCCUAGUUGCGGCGGCCUGCUGCCCUCGCCGCCGCCUCGCACCCCGGUCGCCCCGGUGCUCUCGCCGCCGAAACCGAGGAGAUCCGGCCUGGAGCCAUGGCUAGCCUUCCUGAUUCUUUCUUCGCUAACCUCAAUGAGUUAUCGAACAAUGAAGCAUAUCCUGAAGAGGAAGAUGCAGACACAAGGAGUAUGGAAGAGGAUGGUGAUGGCAUGCCUUGCUGCGAAUUUAAGUACAAUGAUCUUAACAAUGCCUCAAAGCUUCAUAAGACUAAUGUUAUAACGGCAUUAUGCAAAUUUUUUUUGCUAUCGGCAGACAUAAUGUGAAUUAUGAUGACUGAAUGAAUAACUAGCAAGGAGCCUCUUUCUGAAGAGAAUAUGGUACAAUCAAAGCAUGUGACGGAGCUCUUACCCUUGACCAAGCAAAAAGGAAAGUUCUUGAUUUUUUAGAGUCAAAUGGGAUGCAUUGCACCAUACCUUUCUGCCAUUGUUGGUAGUGCUGUGCCUCAAAACUGAUGGGAGCCACCGGUCGUUUGGAAGCAUUAGCAAAAAUGCCUGCUUGUAAUUUGCAGCUUCUCGGUGCAAAGAAGACAAAUCGGUCUAAACUUUCUACCUCAACAUCCAAUUUCAUGUUGGUUAUUUCGAACAAACUGAAGGAUUUCAAAGCAUGAUCCCAUCAUUAAGAACUCAUGCAUUUAGACUUAUAGCUGCAAAAUCAACACUAGCAGCAAGGAUUGAUUCCAUAAGAGAUGAUCAAACUGGAAAAGCUGGGCAGAACUUGUUAGAGGAAAAUCAUCAGUAGAUUGAAAAAUCUCAAGAAUUACCACCUGCAAAGCUCCCAAAGCCACUUCCUGUUUCCAAGCUCUAUCCCUAAAAAGAAGUGGGGAGGUCGUCAGCUUUGGAAAAUGAAAUAAAGAUAUGCACAGCCUGACAUGAUGAAGCUGGCAAUCAUAUGCAGUUUGGUAGUUUGGUGUGCCAGAGGAGAGCUCAUUAGGUGAUGGCUUAUGGAAAGGUUUGGCUUGCUUGGACAGGCAGGAAGGGGGAAACUACAUGUCUUAGCUGGCCCAAACUUGCUGCUAAGUUUGCCAAACGAUGAACAGUUUCAUUUGUCAUUAUUUGUUGGCAUUUUAUUUUGAAAUGAUAAGACAUAGGAUGGUAUGGAGAGUAGCAAACCUGAGUUUGCUAUGGUAGUGUGCAAAAAUUGCAUAAUUGAUUUAAUAGAGAAAAAACUGUUAGAAAGAAAUAUUCUUUUUUCCCUUUUUUCCACUUUGCUAUGCUUAUGUCUUUCCUUCUUAUAGGAUUGAUAUUACUCUACUAGCUACUUUGCAUUUAUCCUCACUUAUCUAUGUAUCUAGAAUUCUAGAUUACUAGACAAAAGUGGUGGUGGUGAGUCUGCCAUCACCACCAUCACUACCAUGUGAGCCAUUAUAAUAACAUAACAUGUGAAUGCUCUAACUGUUCUUUGUAUUUGCACAACUCUACAAUUCAAUUUUCUAAGCAUGGUAUUUUUGUUCUCUGAUGAUUUUUUUUGUAUUUUUUAAACACGGUAUAAUACAUGUAAUCUUGUUUCAAUCAAUUAAAAGUAUUUUUAACCAGACCUAAUUUUGCUAUUUUCAAUAACCUGUUGCAAUGCACACAUAUUUAUCUAGUAUUUCUAAAGUUAUCAUACAGUUCUCAACCUCGUUCUCAGGAAGUUCAUAUGAUGGAUUUAAUUUGCACUCUUUUCUUACAUUGUUUGCAACAUAUUCUCACAUGAUCCUCUGUUACCUUUUUUUUUUCCUAUUUUUCUUGAUACUAGAUUGAAGGCGUGGAGUUCUAACAGGAGUGAGGCAAGGUCGGGGUUAACAUCAACUCUGUCGUUUACCAGUUCAAGAUGAUAAAUAACUCGUUCAAGUAAGUUCUUGCUUUAAACUGGAGCCACCUCGUCGUUUUCCUUCUUGAAUAGCUGGGAAUGGAACUUUCGAAUCCAUUGGUUUAUACCUUCUUGAAUAGCUGGGAAUGGAACUUUCGAAUCCAUUGGUUUAUAGCGACCUUUCUGCCAGUGGAACCCGGAGCACUUAUUUUUCAGACAUUGGGAAACUAUUAAAAUCUGAGGAAAGGUGCCAGCCUCUUCCCAUUUUCACAGCCAUCAGAAGUUCAGAAUCCCAAGAUGUGAUAGCUCAUGAAAAUCAGGUUCUUAGCUUCUUGCUCACACUUUUACUUACAGAAUGUAGAGAUCAAAGCCAGUAUGCAAUGACGUGCCUAUAGAGUUAUGCUGAUAUGGUUGUUUUGUUUUGUCA